rnacentral:rRNA from 1 species
CACGUAGGGGACGAGCGUUGUCCGGAUUCAUUGGGCGUAAAGCGCGUGUAGGCGGCCCUGCAAGUCGGAUGUGAAAUCCCACGGCUCAACCGUGGAAGUGCAUUCGAAACUGCAGGGCUAGAGUCCUGGAGAGGAAGGUGGAAUGCUUGGUGUAGAGGUGAAAUUCGUAGAUAUCAAGCGGAACACCGGUGGCGAAGGCGGCCUUCUGGACAGUGACUGACGCUGAGACGCGAAAGCGUGGGGAGCAAACAGG